rnacentral:rRNA from 1 species
AGAGUUUGAUCCUGGCUCAGAAUCAACGCUGGCGGCGUGCCUCAGACAUGCAAGUCGAACGCGAAAGUCCCCUUCGGGGGACAAGUAGAGUGGCGCACGGGUGAGUAACACGUAGGUAAUCUACCUUCGGAUGGGGAAUAACAAUCGGAAACGGUUGCUAAUACCGCAUAAUGCAGCGGCACCUAAUGGUGACAGUUGUUAAAGCGGGGGAUCGAAAGACCUCGCGUCUGAAGAGGAGCCUGCGGCGGAUUAGCUAGUUGGUAAGGUAAUGGCUUACCAAGGCUACGAUCCGUAACCGGCCUGAGAGGGCGGUCGGUCACACUGACACUGACAUACGGGUCAGACUCCUACGGGAGGCAGCAGUCGGGAAUUUUGGGCAAUGGGCGAAAGCCUGACCCAGCAACGCCGCGUGAAGGAUGAAAUCCCUCGGGAUGUAAACUUCGCAAGAACGGGAAGAAUAAGUAGGGGACAAUACCCCCUAUGAUGACGGUACCGUUUGUAAGCUCCGGCUAACUCCGUGCCAGCAGCCGCGGUAAUACGGGGGGAGCAAGCGUUGUUCGGAUUUACUGGGCGUAAAGGGCGCGUAGGCGGCCAGCACAAGUCAGUUGUGAAAUCUCCGAGCUUAACUCGGAAAGGUCAACUGAUACUGUGCGGCUAGAGUGCAGAAGGGGCAACUGGAAUUCUUGGUGUAGCGGUGAAAUGCGUAGAUAUCAAGAGGAACACCUGCGGCGAAGGCGGGUUGCUGGGCUGACACUGACGCUGAGGCGCGAAAGCUAGGGGAGCGAACGGGAUUAGAUACCCCGGUAGUCCUAGCCUUAAACGAUGAAUGCUUGGUGUCUGGGGUUAUAAAGU